rnacentral:tRNA from 1 species
GUUUCCAUAGUGUAGUGGUUGUCACGUUCGCCUUACACGCGAAAGGUCCCCAGUUCGAAACUGGGUGGAAACU